rnacentral:lncRNA from 1 species
UCCGGGAAUUGGUGAUAGACAGGGAAGCCUGGAGUGCUGCAGUCCAUGGGACUGCAAAGAGUUGGAUAUGACUGAGCAACUGAACUGUUUUACUGAGUGUAACUAUCUCCUAAAAGCCCUGAGCACUUUCAUUUUUGCAUUUUAGGAAUAGGGGUUAAAAUAUCAUCCAUUGCAUGUGGACAUUGUAAAGAUAAUAUGAAGCAAUGUGUGAGGAGUACGCUACUGCAUGUUAGGCUGAGGGACAGGGAGUUAGGAUGCUCCUGAUUCUAAUGAAUUUGUGAAGAAUUGCCAUACCAAGGCCUGGCCUGACCACCUCCAGAUGUCUUCCACUUGAGAGAUAAACCCUCAAGUGUUUAAAUCAUUAUCAUUUUGAAUUCUUUUUUUUUUCCCCCACUGGGAGCCAAAUCCAAUCCUGAUUUGUUUCGUACAGGCAUAACAGCACAUAUUAUUUGAUGAACAUGCUGGAGAGGAAACAUGAAUCUUUGAGUACGGGGUUGGAGAGGAGCAAUCCUAGCAGUUCCCGACCUGUACCUUUCCAAGUUGGUGUCAUAUGAUCACGAGAGUCUCCCAGAAGCUGAAAUCCUCAGAAAGAACUGCAGCUGGUACUUAGAGUCUUCCAGCCCACAGUGGAAUCUCCCCACCACCUGUCUCCCUUGUUUCUCCCACUCUGUGCACCGUCCCUCUACUUGGAGUCUCCACCGUGUGUGAGAAUUUUGUUGACACUUCUGUAGAAGUCCAUAGAGAGUCUUGGUUCAUACGUGAUAAGUCACUUCUGAGGAUGGCUUUGAGGUGAAACUAGUGGAGCCUGUCUGCUGCUUUUCAGUGAAGAAUUUGGGGCCACCUCUUGAGCAAAGUCUUGU